rnacentral:siRNA from 1 species
UUGGCUAGGGAUCUAUGUCGCA